rfam:Glycine max cultivar Williams 82 chromosome 18, whole genome shotgun sequence.
CAAAGAUGGUGCUUACCUCAGCAACGUCUUUAAAAGUAGGCAUUCUAAGACGUUGCUGAAGUAAGCACCGUCUUUGAAUGCCUACUUUCAAAGACGUUGUUGAGGUAAGCACCGCCUUU